AUUGAACGCUGGCGGCAUGCCUUACACAUGCAAGUCGAACGGCAGCACGGGAGCAAUCCUGGUGGCGAGUGGCGAACGGGUGAGUAAUAUAUCGGAACGUGCCCAGUCGUGGGGGAUAACGUAGCGAAAGCUACGCUAAUACCGCAUACGAUCUAUGGAUGAAAGCGGGGGAUCGCAAGACCUCGCGCGAUUGGAGCGGCCGAUAUCAGGUUAGGUAGUUGGUGAGGUAAAGGCUCACCAAGCCGACGAUCUGUAGCUGGUCUGAGAGGACGACCAGCCACACGGGGACUGAGACACGGCCCAGACUCCUACGGGAGGCAGCAGUGGGGAAUUUUGGACAAUGGGCGCAAGCCUGAUCCAGCAAUGCCGCGUGCAGGAUGAAGGCCUUCGGGUUGUAAACUGCUUUUGUACGGAACGAAACGGUGAGCUCUAAUACAGUUUGCUAAUGACGGUACCGUAAGAAUAAGCACCGGCUAACUACGUGCCAGCAGCCGCCGUAA
rnacentral:rRNA from 1 species